UGGCGGCCUGUUUCGAGGAAGACAUAAAUUAUGUCUACAUAUAGAUUGGUUUGUAUAUUUUUAUUUUCAUAGUGGCAUGGUCAUGUAUCUUGUUUUUGCAAUUGAGAAACUUAUUUGUUAUGCAUCACGUUUUCAUGUAUAGAUCAAUGGCUUCUCAAUGGAGACGAAGGCUCGGCUGUGGCUGGUGUAGGGAAUUUUACCUCAGCUGAUCCUUCGUCUCAACGUGCUACACCAAUAUCUUUAGCUACUCCGAUAUCUCAAGCUGCUACUCCAACAUCUCAAGCUGCUACUGUAACAUCUCAAGCUACAUCUAGCAGAGCUGGUUCUAAGAGGAAGCGAACAUCGACAGUAUGGGAUGAGAUGGAAGAGAAAUUAGAAAAUGGACAACUGAAAGCCGAGUGCAAUCAUUGUCAUAGAAAAUUUACUGCAGGACCUAGAGUUGGCACAACUCACUUGCGUGUACAUUUGGAAUCUUGUCCUGCUAAGCAUGCACCCAUUGGUCCACAACAACAAAAAUUGAGGUUGACCAAAGGUGAAGGUGGCAAAGUGAAUAUGGAAAAUGUCAUUUUUGACCAAGAGAAGGCUAGGAGAGAUCUUGCAUUGAUGAUAUGUGAACAUGAGUAUCCUCUAUCUAUUGUGAAUCAUAGUGGUUUUCGUAGAUUCUACACUCUUUGCGACAUUUCAGAGUGUUCUCGAGGAUGAAGAAGAGGAGAUGGAUGCGUCUACUUCAAUCAUCACCCAAUAGUGAAGAUAUUGCUGCUGUUUGUGCUUGGUUGGAACUUGGAAGCUGAUGGCUACUAUUUAUGCUGGUUGGUGGCUCGUGUCUGCUAUCUGCUGUAGCUGCUCUUUGUGUUGGCUCAUCGGUGCCUCGGAUGUUUUUAGUUAUUACUUGUCGGAUGUUAUUUGGUGAAGUGUGUCGUGAGUUUGUGAACCUAUGUUAAAGUUCAACAAUUGUCAAUUUGAAUUGAGAUAAUUGUCAUGUACUCAUCUAUCUAUUAUUUAGUUGAGAUAAUUUUUUUUGUCAAA